UGUAAGCGUAUACCAAAGUUGUUGCAGUUAAAACGCUCGUAGUCGGACUUUGGCAGUUCCGGAUGUGUGCACGUCGUGUGCGCACUUCGCGGGGAUUGCUUUUGUGGUCCUGCGUAGGAUGAGGCACUUUUAUUAGUGAACGUCCUCACGCAACCACUUUUUACUGUGAGAAAAUCAGAGUGCUCAAAGCAGGCAUUUGCCGUGAAUGUAUUAGCAUGGAAUAAUAGAAUAGGACUUGGUUCUAUUUUGUUGGUUUGUUGGGACUGAGUAAUGAUUAAGAGGGACAGUUGGGGGCAUUUGUAUUUCGGUGCUAGAGGUGAAAUUCUUAGAUUACCGAAAGACAAACUGCUGCGAAAGCGUCUGCCAAGGAUGUUUUCAUUGA
rnacentral:rRNA from 1 species